rnacentral:lncRNA from 1 species
UUAACACAUCAUUUUACAAAUAAAAGCAUUAGUCAAAUCAUCUAAAUCUUAAAAAUCUAACAAAAUAUAAGAUGUAAGAUUACUUAACCUAAUCAACAAAAUUUGGGGUUUGGGAGAAUAUCUACACGCAUAAAAUUAGGUGUAAUAAUGGGUAAUAAUCACAAGUACAGAAAAAGAAAGGCUUAUGACUUACAUUGUCAAUUUUAUCCUUAUAAAUUUGAUAACCUGGAGGAAAUGGAUGAUUUUUCAAGACAUAUCAAUUAAUAUAUUAUGUUCCUGAGAAAUUAUUAAAAUUGUAAUGAAAUAUUAUGGUAGAAUUAAUUGGAAUUGCUUACAAACAUCAAUCCCCCCCCCCCGCAAAUUGCCAACAACCACCUUAUUUUUCUUGCAGUUAAGCUGAGCACCAUGACCCUAACAACGAGCAGGCUGACAGAAGAGCAUGUCUAGGGAAGCAUCAUAUCACAGAGUCUGUAGGCUGAGGAGAGAAGGACCCUGUUUCUUAUUCAUCCAGUGGCAUUACAAAACUAGUUGGAAACCCCAGACUCCUCCUUCACCUUCCCCAGCAUCCCAGGAGCUGCUUGCUCUGGAAGAUGUUUCCAUCACCCUGAUUCCAGAGCACAGCUAUCCCUACACCAUGCAUUAGACAUGAAGACUGAGGAAUGAAUGGACUUCUCUCCCUCAAAGCUCCUGCAAUCUUAGGGUCAUCAUCCCCUGGUCCAUUGUGACCUAUGUGUGUGUUUGUCACAGUCUAGUGGUGACCAAGUUCACAGAAAGCAUCUCUUAAUCUCUUAGUUGAAUGAAAGUAGAAUAGCACAGGGUGCAGACAAAUCAAGUCUCCUAUUUCUCUAGACUCAUUUCAGUCUCUCUGGUUUACUCUCUCAGAGCUCUCUGGCUUUUUGUUCUUACACAGCACCCUAAUUUUUGUGUAGUUAUCUGUUUAAUAUUUACCCCAUUCCUAGAUUAAAGGACUAAUAAAAGAAUAUAUUCCAUGUUUUUCCACCUUCUGUUUAGUUACCUGCACUGUGUGGGAUGCAGAGAAGGUGCUCAGUACAUAUUUAUCUUAGUAAUUAAUCAAGAAUAUGGGUAGACGCUGGAGGCAUGAUGGGCAAACUCAAAGGGAAUUGAGCCCUGACAGCAAAUACGUGAAAGAGCCUCAGAUGUAGGAGUCCCCACUCCAGCUUUUUGAAAGUGUAGAAAGGCACAGAACUAGAAUUGAUAAGCCAGCAGCCUAGGGAACUAUUUAAAUUCAUUGUGAAGGAGAACUUUCCAACUCUCUGAGUUUAUCUCCAGAUUAAAUAAAACAUCUUGGACUUCAUCACAGAAUAUGAUCAAGAAGAGGCUGGCUCAUGGAAAACUGGAGAUGCCUGGGCUGAAUCAAGGGAGGUCACCCUAAAUAGGUUAGUAUCACUUAAUUAUAGUUUAUAAAAUAACUACAGAUGUUGAAGGCUCAGAAAAAUUAGUCAAUGGAAAGAGAAAGAAAGACGAUUGGAUAAUUGAAAACAAUGACUUUGGAGGUUCAUAUAGCUCUCCAAGGGAAUCAAAUUUUCUUUUAUUAUCAGUGAAUAGUGUAAGGGAGGGACCACCUGUUUUUGGUGACAUUUGGGCA